UACGGAGGGUGCAAACGUUGCUCGGAAUCAUUGGGCGUAAAGCGCAUGUAGGCGGUCCAGUAUGUCGGGUGUGAAAGCCCUCGGCUUAACCGAGGAAGUGCACUCGAAACUGCUGGGCUUGAGUACUGGAGAGGGUCGCGGAAUUCCCGGUGUAGAGGUGAAAUUCGUAGAUAUCGGGAGGAACACCAGCGGCGAAGGCGGCGACCUGGACAGAUACUGACGCUGAGAUGCGAAAGCGUGGGGAGCAAACAGG
rnacentral:rRNA from 1 species